rnacentral:lncRNA from 1 species
AGGUGACUAUCCCCCCACCCUGCCCCUGCGUCGCGGCGCGUCGCGCUGCUGCUCCCGCCCCAGCCGGGGCCGAAGAUGGGGCGGCGGCUGCGGUUUUCCACACGACUUCCUUGGAUCUCGGGGCACACGCGCCGAUAGUUCGGACGCGAGUCCGGGCUGGUUUUGCUCCGUUUUACUGCGUUUGAUUACUAAUUUAAAAGCUUUGCGUUCCCCGUCGCCCCGGCCCGCUUUUCUCCUGCAUUCUCCCCUCGGCCCCCGUCCCCGCCCUGCGAUCGCUGGAGGGGGCGUCGGGGCUCGCGCGCCAGAACCCGGCUCCUCCGAAGCCCCCUCCGGGCCCCACCGCCCCCCUCGCGCCUCCCGGCCCCCGCCUCCUCCCCUUCGCCCCCACCCAACGGCUGCUGCUUCGGGCUUCGCGGCUCAAAAACAACAGCGGAGGCGCCGCCAGCUCCGCGCUCCGCCACUGCCCAGGCCGGCGGGCGGCACUCGGACCCGCCGCCCUCGGUCCCUCGCGAGGCCACGGAGGCCAACACGCCUCGCACGGGGGGACAGCGCGGGGGCAGCCGUCCAAACACCAGGCGUCCUCGGCUGGUCGUCCCAGGGCGCCCGCACCUCUCCGCCCGCGCUCUCCUGCCGCCGCGCCCCCAAGCCCCCAAACUCCGAGGCGCUGCGGCGGAGGGGCCGGGCUGAGCGCAGGCAGGGUGGCCCGGGCCCAGGAGCCUGACGGCCUGAGUGCGGAUUUCUCAUCUGAGUAUCUGGGAAUCGAGAAUGAAUUGGAAGGAAACCGAGGCGCUGCCCUGGCCAGGUUGCUGCCCCGCACCCUUCCGGAGCACCGAAGUCCUGCCCGGCAACGGGACUUGGAGCUGCCGCAGAGUCAGCCUGAGCCCGAGGCAGGGGUCGCGCCCGCGAUGCGGGGUCUCUGCGCCGCCCCGCGAGGCUCCUGGCCUUGCCCUCCCUGCCCUUUGUUGUGUAAUAAGACCUGUGGCGGCUCCACUGAGACCCACACGUGCAACUCCGCGCCUCCGCGUUAAAGGAGGUGAAACGCAGCAGCCCUGAGAAACCCCGAGACCCCGGUGUCCUAGCAGAGGCGCCCCGGAUGGGGAGGGGCGCGGGGCCGGCGCCACCCCAGAGGAAAAGCCCAGCGGAGCCGGGUUGGGCAGGAGCUGGCGGCGGCGGUGCGCUGGGCCUUCUGCCUUGGAUCCUCCGCGGUCGGCACCGCUUCCCUGCUCAGAUUCGAACCCAGAUUCGGCUCCCAAGGCUCCCACGGCUCCAGGGUGCCCAGUCUUGCAGCCAGCUCGCCGCCCGAGCCCCGGAUGGAGGAAGCGCUCACUGGCCGCUACCUCUGCUGUUUCUGGCACCAGGUGAGUGUCGCCUAGAGAAGGGCCAUGAGCAAUGGCACAGCCCCAUUCCCUGCCGUCCUUUCGAGGGUCUAUCGACCCCUUUACCCACCCUCCCCACACCCUGACCAUCUUUCUACAGGGGUUGGGGCAGAGAACAGCUCAGUUUACAGGCCCGGCUCUGGAGGUCUUGAUCUGCCUAGCCAACUAGGGCACCGCUGCAGCUUUGCACCGCCAAGGCCGGUUCUGAACCUGCUCGCCCCAGUGGGUGGGAGGUGCUGGAGCCCAGGAACACGGGCGCUGUCUUGCCUAAACCCCGCCAAGGGCAGGUUCCCAACGGUGGGCCCAACCUGGCUGGAGCUGCUGGCUAGAAAGGACUCAAGGUCACUCCCAUAUCUCUGCACCCAGGUCCCCCUUGCUCCUGCCUGAAGCCUCUGCAGGUUUGGGAGGAGGCCUGGGGAAGUUACUAUGGUGCCUGCGAACCACUCCCACCUGCAGAGAGGGUCCCUUCCCCACCCUCACCCUGCAGCCCAGCAGAGGCCUCCUUUGCCCCUGGCCUGGAGGUAGCCAACAGAUGCCAAGGUUGUGCAGUCCUGGCCUUCUUCUACGGGUGCCCCAACUCUCUCAGGCCCUCUCCCUGCCUCCUCCUCCAGCUCAGGAGGUGGUUCUCAGAACCCUGGCCAGGCUAGGACAGGACAGCCAUCCCUGGCCUGUUGCCAGCCCCUAGGGAAGAAGGGCAGGAGGUAUGGGAGCAAGCUGGUCUGUGCCAUCUGGUCCUUGCCCUCCACCAGGCUGUUGGGUAGGGAUGGGGUCAUGGAUCUGCCUGGGAAGGGGUAGCUGCCGGUCAAGCCUCGCCAGGGAGACAGCCGGGCUGCCUACCUGCAAGGCACUGACGCAGCCCUGGCUCCAGUGGGGCAGUGUCUCCCGAGCCUGCUCGAGGAGCCCAGGCAGGCUGUCCCCAAGGCCAUGGCCCUGGCCGAGGUUGCAUCCUGGCCUGGCCAGGCCCUGCCCCCGCGUGGCCAGACUUAGAAGCGGAGAGCAGGUCAGGCAUUGAGGAGUCCCGUGGGGAAAAAGGGUGAAGCAGGGAAGAUCAGAUGCAAGUCCUCCCUGGGGCCCAGUUCUGUGUCCCUGCCUGGCAAGGGCUUUGGGGGGCUUGGAGAACAGGUAGGGCAAAUGUAGGCCCAGUGGGGAAAAGGUUGAUACUAAAAGGUCUAAGGGCAAUUUUCAAACCAAGUCUAGCUCUGCAGAGCCUUGAGGCUGAUGCCAGGCCCUGGGGCCCCUGCGCUGGGAUUGUAAGUGCUGUAAGCUCAUUCCUACUGACCUCCUUGGGUCGUCCAAGGACAGUGAGUGUGGGUUGGCCACAUAGAGGCUCCUACACUGGACAACUGCACGCUGCUGUCGAGUUCCAAAACCAAUUUCAUAGCUGGGGUCUUGGAGGCUAGAGCGGGGCUUUAACCACCAACUUCUGCUGGGGUCUGGGCAGAGAGGGAGUCCAUGGAAACUCGAUUUCUCCAUGAGCCCUGCAGACUCCCAGUGUUUCUAACGGCUGGAGACCCAUGACCAGGUUAAUUCCUUAGGGAAAAGGCCGGGUUUGAGAGCCAGAAAUGCUGGUCCUGCCGUGCUGGAGGAAGCAUCUUAUUAGCGAGUAGGAGGCCCCCAAGCCCCAGGGGUUCCCCAGAAGCCCAUUGAGUAGCAGAACUACCAUGCCGGCCUGCCCUCCACUCCCGGAAUCUACAAAUGCAUUCAAGGGCUAGAGGGCCCCUUCGCUUGGCCAGGCCUUGUGCCCCAUGCCAACUGGCAGGGUCAGAGCAGCCCCAGCUGCCCCUACCCCCAGCCCCUCAGGCCCCAGGGAGCCCUGCUUCGGGCCGUGUGUGCAGGACAGGAGGUAGGCAUGGCACCUGGCAAGAUGGACUCACCUCACCAGGUUCUUUCUCUCCCACUUUCUCUCCCCUCACCUCACCCCUUUCUCUCCCACUCCUCUGUGCUUUUUGAACUUAGCCAUGGGUUUUCAGAUACUUGGCCUCAGGCUCUAUUGAAUUCCAGGUCAAGGUUUUACUGACUCCACACCCCCACCUUGUUCCUCCGGGUAGCAAAGAAGCACACAGCCUCUGGUUUACCAACGGGCUUUCCUGGGAGAUUGGAAAUGCCCCAGGUGGGAUCCAGAUCGCCAGCGCUCACCCCACCCCCAAUACGUGGGCCACUGAGUCAGGCCAGGAUGAGGCUCUUGCUCCCCGGGCAUGUUCUCCUGCCCCAGACUUGAGCAGCAGGAGCCAGGAGACCACAGGGGCCCUUGGGGAUGGCUGACUUGGCUCCCACUAGACAGAGGGGAACAUGGAGGAGGGCUGCUUGGACCCUAUACCUCGCAGGGGACUCGAUGGGGGCUGAAUGCUGGAAGGAGCCUGCGUUUGGUCUAGAAUGGUGGGGGUGGGUGGGAGACACAAGUCAUGGAAAAGGCCAUUUCUUCCCUAUUGAGACCUCUGAAAUGACCCGAAGUGGGUGCUUCCUCCAGCAUCAUGCCUCAGCCGCACACUGGGGCUACAGGAAUCCCCCCAGACCCUGGGGUCAAUAUUUCGGGGCCCCUUUGAACCUUCUUCUCACCCGAGGCCUGGGAAACCUUCUUGUGCCCCAGAAUACUUGGAGAGGACAGGACACAGGUCCCAGUUGUGGCCCAGUGGUGGCAAGGUUCCAUUCCCUGCACUGCUCAAAGGUGGGGGCCUCCCAAAGCCGAUACCCGAUUCCUGGUCCCAGAGUGGGUAGCUGGGAGGAGUGGACUUCCUAGGAAUGUGAGCCAUGUCGCUGAUUUCGAACAAACCCCAGAUGUGUGGAAACUGACUUAUUUUGAUUGCAAGAGGGUCCUUGUCCCUUGCAGAUGGGCAGCUUCCGGGGACCGGCUUGCACGAUGCCGUGGCCACCCCAGUGGAGACCCUCUGCCCGGCUUUGUGUCCUGGCGUCCCCACCAGGGUGCCCAGCUCUCCUGCGCAGAUGUCGGGAGUAUCUGGAUGCCCCAUGGGCACUUCGAGGGCCCAAUCCGGAGUUUUUUGUUUUGUUUUGUUUUAAGAGAUUGAGACUGUGAACCUGAACUCCCUUGAUCUCCUCCCGUUGGGCCCAGGAGGGAGCCGAAUCCAGGCCCAACCGGGCUCACUGAGAAGAACCUUUAAAAAUCCGCCAACGAAUGCUGUUGCCUGGAUGCGCUGCCUAUGACCUUCAGCCGUGUGUUCACGCGCGCCCGCAGCCGUGGAGUGGCGGUCCCUCCUGCCGCCCGCAACCCCGGGGCCGCCGGUCUGCGCACACCGGGAGCAACUUCGUUACCCACAGCGCCCGCGUCCUGCGGCUCGCGCGGAACUGCGCGCGGGAAGGUGGCAGAGCGACGCUCCAGAACGCUGCUUGCGUAGACGCUGCCGCUGCCUUCAGAUCCCAAUUCGGCCGCGCGCGGGCGGGGCCCUGGCAGCAACGAAAAUGGCGAGCCUCGUAGCCUUCCGGGCCCGGCGGCCACAUUCCGGGAGUCGCCAGGUGGGAGCCCGCCUUCCGUGUCCCCAAACGCCCAGAGCCCGGGACACGGGCCGGCGGCCGGGUCACCAAGCCAGUUCCCGGAAUCGGCUCGCGCCGGAAUCCAGACUCGGCUUGCAAAGCCCGCUCCUGCCGUCUCUCCGCAGCGCGCCCUGCCCCCCACUGCCGGCCCUCUUAGCUUCAAAACCAAAUUUUGCCUUUCAUCCUGAGAGAUUAAUACCCCGCAGGUGAAACCGUGGAGACGGAGCUGCGGUGGGUUUCUUUUCCACGCCUCAGUUUCCUCGUCUGUGAAAUGGGACCAGGCGCGCCUGUGCUUCUCCGGGAGUUUAUUGCAGGGCUGGCUGGAGAGAAUGGCUGGGUGGAAGCUGCCAGGAGGAGGCCCAAGGCCGCCCACCCCGUGGGCCUCGUUUGCUGAGCGGGGGUCAGAGGCGUGCGGGACAGGGCGCGCCCCACGGCGGCUCUGGAGGCGGCCCGGCCCGUCCCUGUCUCCUCCCCUCGCUCCCCCUCCCCCGGCCUUCCCGGAACUCUCCUCGCCCGCUGGGUGGAGGAGGGGCGAGGGCCGACUCCGCCGCCCCUGGGGUCUCCCUCCUCCCACCCCCACCGCAGAGUCUGGCCCGCCCUGGGCUUUCCUCUCAGGUCCCUUUGGGUCUCCAGAAGCCCGGAGGUUUCGCGCAGACUCGAACCUGAGAUGACACCACCCAGCACCCCAAAUCCUGCAGAGUGUGGAGGGGAUCUGGGGAGAAGGCAGGGGCUGCCCGGGCGCUCUGGCUGCUGGGGGUGGGGGACAGGGCCUGCCGGGGAAGCGGGUCGGGGGAGGACUGGAGACCCAGGCUCCCCUAGGUACAACGAACCUCGCGGGAGGGAAUACGCCAUCCCCGUACCCACUUCCGAGGACGUAGGUCUUUUGGCACCGGCGGCAGCCGCGUUCCCACACAUCUGGGCGGGGCCCCGCAGCAUGGCCUGGGGAGCUGAGGCUUCGGGAUCCGGCACAAACUACCAUUCUAGGUGUAGACGGAGGAGGUGGGGUGUGGGAAGCAGGGGGCCAUGGUCUGAGCAGACCUUCUCACCUCUGGGCCUCCCACCUCCUGGGGCAGGACUUACGGGGAAGGACCCGAGGGGAGUGGGGUGUCCAUAGGGACACCCAAGGGUCUAUCCCUGCGAGCUUUGCUUUCUACUAAACCAAUAAUCGCAGUGGUGGUGGCAGUCGAGACACGGCUCAAAGAGCCGGCAAGAAUAGAGCAGAGACCAGGAUCGCCCCAGGCAGGGAAAAAAUGACCAGUUCUGUAGAGUGACCCGAAGGUGAUGGAAUCACUCGGGCGUCCUCCUGGGAAAGAGCUGCCUGCUCCCCCGCCGCCGCCAGUACACCGGCGCCCAUGCCCCGGGGGCUGGAGAGAGCAGCCAGGCACAGCCCCUCCAGCUUCCUGGGAGUCCAAUUUCCCAAGGUAGAACGGUGGCGGCAGAGCCUGGCCCUGUGGUGGGGCAGCUGCACCCCGAUGAGUGGCUUGCAGUUCCUGGAGCCCUGCAGGUUGUUGGAGAGGCAGGGAGCCCUUCUCCCUCCUGCCUGCCCUCUUGCACUUCCUCUCCCAGAACCCAGCACUACUCCCAGAGGCUCUGAGCUGGAGCCCUAGAAGGUAACCACCUCCUGGCUGGACACAGGGCAAGUUGGGGCCAGGCGUGAGGACAGGUGCCCCAGGAGCCACCUGCUCCACUCAUCCACAAAGGCCUUAACUGGCUCAGGGGCCCCUAGCUCCCAGUCAAGCCCUGCCCUCCUGACCUUGUCCUGCCCUGGUGCUGCCAGUCGGGUGGAGAUGUCUAGGGGCCAGCUGGUCUCCUGGCAACUGAAGUCCGCGCUUCCCUUCCGUUCACUCAUUCCUUCCUUUCCUCAUGCAGGAGGCGCUGCAAGGCUCCGUGCUCCUGGAGCUUCGAGUCUAUGGUAUGAGUUAAACAGAAGGGUAUCUCCUCCAUCAGAUCUACAGGAGGGUGUCUGCUCCAUCAGACCUGGAGCUUCCAAGGCAUUUUACCCGAAGCUCCAGCACCUGGCCCAAGGCUGGGCUGUGCUGUGUCCUCAGUGAAAGAAUGGAUGAGUCACAGCUGAAUGACUGAAGAGCUGAACCAGUAGGUUUCCCUGGGGUUUCCACAGGCAGUUUCAGCCCAGGGGAAGACCCAGGGAGAUGAGGAUGGGAAAACUGAUGCUCAGAGGCUUGAGCAACCUAGGCCAGGACCUGUCCUUAGAGGCAGAAGCAGGACUCAGAGGAAGAGCACCCUGACCACAAAGCCCCAGGUGACUUACACUGCAGGGAUGGCGCUCUCCGGGGUGUGCAGGGUGGCAGAGGUGCCUCUGCAGAGAGAUCCCUGCCUGGGACCCUUUCCUGGGGCUCUUCUGGUGCUGGGAGUGUGAGCACCACGAAAGCCCCACUACAGUCAUGCCACCCAGAGGGCGCUCUGGCCUCUUGGUCACCCGUGUCCUUCUGGCAAUGACCAAUACACUUUUUUGCCAGGGUCCAGAAAGACUCAGCCACUGGAGUCUGUAUUUCCUGAGUCGCCUCUCACUGGUAAGUCCUGAGCCCCGUUCCUUCCCAGCACCCACUCUUGGAGCAGCUCUCCAGGGCUGUGCUGUGGCUGCUGCGGUCAGGGAGAGGUCGCAUGCUCCAGCCAGGGUCUUUGGGGACUCAGUUUAGAACUAAUACGCCAAGCAAGUCGUGCUGAGUGUCUGGGCUUCUUCUAGGAAGGUAUUUCCAAUCAUCAAAUGUGCCAUUAAAAAAAAUGCAUGUCAGUUAAGUGUGCACUAAGCCUGGACCACAUGGGACAUAGUGGUUCCAAUAAACACGAAUAAGCCAGUUUUCACAUUAGAGAAAUACCAGUUUCUUGCAGAAAUGCGGUGCUUUUAAAAGAGGUUAAUUAAUAAACAGCAGGUAAUUGUUCGUGGCACGUUGUGGCAGAGGGUAAUUUUCAUUUUAGAGGAUGGAAGGGCCAAAUACCCCUCCCCACUCAGCAUUUUUCUGUAAUAAUCACCUCAGCUUCACCUCCGCCUUUCAUUUUUACAGCUGGAGCUGUUUAUCAUCGCUCCAACUUUCACUAAAAAGGAAAAACUAUCACUUAAACAAAGCCAUUGAAACCCCAGCAUCAUGUGUGGAUUUUUUAACAUAAAUAAAUCAUACAAACUAAGAUUUAUGUUCUUGGAAUGAUGUCAUUCAUUGAAGGCUGCCUUCCCAAUCAAAGCCGUGUUUAGUGAUUUUUCUUUAGUGGGUGUGCUUUUUGCUAAAUAGGAAAAACCCGUUCGGUCAUCCUUGCUGCUGUCUUUUCUCGGUUUGGCCCAGAACAUCAGAAAGGUUUCUCCCUGGGCCAGUCCACAGAGCCAAAUGGUGAAAAUGGUUUUAACUCCACAGACUGCUUUUAAAGCCUUUGCUUUGGAACCGUUAAGUCUGAGAUCAAAAGACUGUUAAACCUUCCCUAAGAAUGUGUGCAGGCCUCAGCAGAAGUUUAUGGUCCUCCCAGGUCUCCCAGAGCCUAGAAUGAAUCUCGCUGCAGAGUAACGCAUCUGCAGAAGCUUCACCAAAUUGAAAUGAGUGAGGAGCAUUAAAAUCAGCACACGUGGAUAAAUAACAGGUGGCAUAUCCAUGCAAUGGAAUACUAUGUCGCCAUGAAAAGGAAUGAAGAGCUGACGCUUGUUACAGCAUGAAUGAACCUGGAAAACAUGACGCUCCGUGAAAGAAGUCAGUCAUAAAAGGUCACGCUUUGUGUGAUUCCAUUUAUACGAGAUGUCCAGGAUGGGCCAAUCCAUAGAGACUGAAGACAUAUUAGUGGUUGCCUGGCUGUAGAAGUAGAGGCAGUAGUACUCUGGGCCAAUGAAGGCCCUGGGAACAGAUGGGCCACACCAGAGUCCAGCUUCAGCCCUCCAGGCAUUGAAAGGAGACCAUUAGCUGGAAGCCAGUGGGAAGUCGGGCUGACUAAUAGGGACAGGUGUCCAGGAGGCUGCAGUGUGAGGCUUUCAUUUGUUCAAGCAACACACAUUCACUGCACUCUUACCGUGUGCCAGGGACAGCCAUAGGCCCUGAGACUACAGCAGUGAUGGAGACAGACGCUGCUCCCAUCAAGGUCAUGUUUUGAUGGGGAAAGCAGCAAUAAGCCAAAUACAUAUGGGUCUGGGGUGCCAGGCUAGACGAUUCUAGUGCAAUGGACAUGAAAGAGGAGAGAGGUGAAGGCACAGUCUUCAAUCGGUUGUUCAAGAAAGGCCUCACUGAAGUGGUGACAUUUGGGCAGAGACGUCAGGGAGGGAUGAGGGAGCCACCCAAGUGUCUGGGAGAACAGCACUGGGGCAGAUGGAACAGCCAGUGCAAAGGCCCUGAGGCUCCAGUGACCAGUGUGGCUGCUGCAGAAGGACGGGGAGGGGAGGAGGGGAAAACCGUGUAGAGUGGCAGUGGGAGGACAGAUUAAGGCUGCAGGUGGAAUUAAAGUUGCUCUUUCAGCUGACUUUAAAGUAGGGAGACGAUUCCAGAUUAUCUGGGUGGCCUUAAUGUCAUCACGAGGAUCCUUAAAAGUGGAAGAGGGAGGCAGGAGAGUCAGGAUUAGGAUGAAGUGGAGAUAUGUGAGAAUAUGAGGAAGAUUCCCCUGGCUGUGCUGGCUCUGAAGACAGAGGAAGGGCCCACGAACCAAGUUACGUGAAUACGGACAGACUCUAGAAGCUAAAAAAGGCAAGGAAAUGGAUUCUAGAGCCUCCAGCAAGGAAGGCAGCCCUAUGCAUGCCUUGACUUUAGGACACUGAGAUCCAUUUCGGACUUCUGACCCACAAAACCAAAAUCUAGUAAGUGUGUGCUAUUUGAAGCUGCUAAAUUUGUAGUAAUUUGUUACAGCAGCCACCAGAAAUUAAUAUGGGGAGGAAAUAGGGAUUUCAUCUGUCCAUAGUAAAGACAUGCCGGGGGUGAUAAGAAUCUGAGCCCAUCUCACCUAGAUGAGAACGAGAGAGUAAUGACCACAGAAUAGUGGUGAUGGCCAUCCUCACAUCUGGCUCCUUAGCCACCCAUGCCAGUAUGGACUGACUGCCUUCUACGUCUUGUCCAUGGCCAUUCUCUAGGGAAAUUCCCUUGCAUCUCCUGCUACCUUUACAGACUACAUAUUUUGUUGGAUUACUUUCUCAUUUUCAUGAAGCAUAUCUUCUAGUAACUUCUGAUAAAAGAUGCAUAGGAGAUAAAUAUUUUAGGACUUCCACAGUACCAGAAUGAUGGAUGAACUGGGUAUAGAAUUCCAGAUUGGAGAUGAUUUUUUUGUUCAGAAUUUUAGAGAAUAUUGCCCCAUUGUCUUCUUGCUACCAGGCAGCUAUUGAGAAGUCUAGGAAGAUUCUGUUUCCUCGGACUUUGUGUGCAGUGUGAUUUUUCCUUUUUGGAAUUUUAUAGAAUCUUCUUUGUCCCAAGUGGUCCCAUAUUCCACAAUGAUGUGCCCUAGAAUGUGUCUGUUUUUAUCCACUGUGAGUUCUUUCCAACUGAGAACUUGUGUCCAUUAGCUCUGGGAAAUUUUCUUGAAAUACUUUCUUAGUGAUUUCUACUCUCUGUUUUGUUUCUUCUUCAUUUUUGAAACUUGAUAUUUAUAUGAGCUUUCUUCUGCACAUAUAAUCUGUGUGUCCACCAAAUGGCUUUGCUCUGUUUGUUUCAAUCUGUCUUUCCUGAGGCAUCUGCUGAUUCUUGGCUUUCUGCCCAUGAUGAGGAGCUGACUGGAAGUUCUGACAGUAAGAGAGGAGGGGUUCAUUGCCCUUGAGACCCAUGAAUGGGAGUGAUCCUUGAUCCUUGGAUGUCAGUAUCUUUAGGAACUGACCUGAUUCCCAGAGAAGUUACCCAGGGAGCAAGGGAGGGUCUGGCUGCCAGUCUUCUUGGAGUCAACUUGGAGUUGAAGGCAGGGGUCUUUGCAGUCAGCUGCCUGAAUUCUGGGAAAUAAACCUCUGGACUUUUGCUGGUGUGGGGGAGGGGUGGUCGCUCAGGGAGGAUAAGGAGGGGAUAGGAAUCCCCCUUUACUAAGCCAUCCUGAUCGUAGCCGCUCUUGCACCCCAAGUCCUAGAGGUACCCUUUUUUUUUGACGGAGUUUCACUCUUAUUGCCCAGGCUGGAGUGCAAUGGUGCGAUCUUGACUCACUGCAGCCUCUGCCUCCUGGGUUCAAAAAUUCUUCUGCCUCAGCCUCUAGAGUAGAUGCGAUUACGGGUGCCCACCACCAGGCCUGGCUAAUUUUUUUUGUAUUUUUAGUAGAGACAGGGUUUCACCAUGUUGGUCAGGCUGGUCUUGAACUCCUGACCUCAGGUGAUCCGCCCACCUUGGCCUCCCAAAAUGCUGGGAUUAUAGGCGUGAGCCACCACGCCUGGCCCCUAGAGGUAAUCUUAUACUCAGUCUUGAGUGUUAGGAUUCCCCUUGGUUAUAAAUCUGGUAAAAUCUCACCUUCCUGCUCUCUAUUCAGGAUUUUCUCUUGUCUCUGAUCCAAUUGCCACAGGUCCAUCAGCAAUUCAGCUUUCAGAAGGGAGGCCCACCCUUAUGGGUAGAUGCCUUUUGAAAUCUCUUUAUUGUGGUUGAAGUGGGGCUUACAGAGGGGACGCUAUUGAAUGGGUGUGUGUUUAGUUUGCCAUCUUAACCCGAGGCUUUUGUGGCUAUUUUAGAAAGACUGUGUCCAUUCUUAGGUCUAGGCCCGAUACCACACACAGUGUCCACACACAGGGGCUCUGACCCCACAGGGUUCUUUGGGUCCUGAUCAAUGAUCUUUCAAGAGCCUCCCCCUUGACCUGCUUCUGGCCACAGAAACAGCUGAUAAAUGAAAUUUGUUAGUUUCCUACAAUGGAGUGUUGCAUCAGCAGUGAACAUAGUGACAAGAGUGCAUGCUUAUCACCACGCUGACAUGUCCCUGAGACAUGGGGGCGACCUUUAAGAAUGUCAGCUGAAAUAUUAACAGCGGUUUUCCCUGGGUGAUUAGAUCUGAUAAUAUUAAAACUUUUUUCUCUGUUAUGUUUCUCUGCAUUUAAUUUUUCUCCACUGACUGUAUAUUAGUGGUGGAAGUGUUACAAUGUUUAAAAAUAAGAACAUCAAAAAAUUAGCCCAGGGUGGUGGUGGCAUGUUCCUGUGGUCCCAGCUACUCAGGAGGCUGAGGCAGGAGGAUCUCCUGAGCGCAGGAGGUAGAGGUUGCAGUGAGCCAAGAUCUCACCACUGCACCCCAGCCUGGGUGACAGAGUGAGAUCCUGUCUCAAAAAAUAAAAAUAAAAAUGAGAAGAAAAUCCUAUCUGUCCUUCAAUAACCAGCUCAGCCACUGCUACCUCCCGGGAGUCUCCCGUAUUCCCACUGUUGGGAAUGCUUCCUGCACCACAUUAAAUAAACUGC